CGUGAUAGUGGGCCCAGCAGCAGCUCAAGGGCCGGGAUACAGAAUCUUCUUGGGUCCAAAUACCCUCUAGAAGUUUCCCAUUGGUCACUUCAUGCUCACCUCAUGUAAACGAAGUGGUAGCCCACAAUCUGAUUGGUUGCAGAAAGCAGCCAAUCAGAGGACGUGAAGUUACAAAGGUCACAUUCCUGUGCCAACAUCUGAUUGGAUGAAACGUUUGCUAGGGUUAUGUUACAAAGUUAUAUGAAAACGAAGACUUCACCCGCAAUCAGUCUGGUUGUGGACAGCAACCAUUCAUAGGCUGGAGUGAAGUUACAAAGUUGCAAACGAAGACUCCACUCACAACCAGUCUGAUUUGUUGGGGACAGCCAAUUUCCCAUCUGCUGUGCAGAAAACGUCAAAUGGAGUAGCAUCCGGUCCUUUUGUUACUUAGGCUGGAAAGUCAGAGUUUUCCUUUCAAUUUAGUUCUAGGAAGUUGGCGUGAAACAGCCUUAGGUUCCCUGCCUCCAGACCCUCUUCUCCUGCCUCACCAGGACCUGGUGGGCCAGUUGUGGUCGGUGAAGGAAACCUGCAGGGCAGGGGGUAUGAGGGAGCUUGAGCUGCGGCACGAGAGAGCAGCUUCAGGAGCCAGAACCCUGGCUGCUUCUGCUGCAGUGAACUGGCCCACUCUGGGCCUCAGUUUGCCCUUCUAAGAAAUGGACCUACAAUGAUCUGGGAGGGGCUGGAGCCAGCGCUCACCUGGUCGCCCAUGAUGAAUGCCUGUCAACCCUGGUUCUGGGCUAGAGGGUCUCAAAAGGCUUCAGGUGCCUGGCAGCUCCCAAACACCCUGGGCUUUGCCCUCCUCCUGUGAACAGGAGUGACUCCCGUUGGAGGUGUGUGGUGAGACUGACCAGGGUGACCUCCUGCCCCUGACCACACUGUCCCAGAGUACCAGCCGCAUCCGGGCUCACUCAGAACCCUGGUGGAUAAGGCGGCUGCAGUGCCCGCCCAUGACGGUCCUCCACCCCGUCAUUCACUGUGUCCACCAGUGCUUCCUCCCACUGGUCUUUGUCGUAGAGCCCUAGUCAGCAGCCAGGCAGUGAGCUGAGAUUCUGUCCUCUCCCCACAAAGCCCACAGGCGUCAGACCUGGGCCUCCAGGACCUCUCUGUGACCCUGGCUUUGGAGGGCCUUCUCUCCCAGCCUCUGCUACUCCCACCUCCACAAGGUGAAAAGGUCGUAGGCCCAUGCC
rnacentral:lncRNA from 1 species